AUCAAGGUGUCUGAUUAAAGUAAUAAAUUGUAAGUUUAUAUAAGAAUUAAAUUUCUCUUGAUA
rnacentral:tRNA from 1 species